rnacentral:rRNA from 1 species
AACGAACGCUGGCGGCAGGCUUAACACAUGCAAGUCGAACGCCCCUUCGGGGGAGUGGCAGACGGGUGAGUAACGCGUGGGAAUCUACCCAGUUCUGCGGAACAACAGUUGGAAACGACUGCUAAUACCGCAUACGCCCUACGGGGGAAAGAUUUAUCGGAAUUGGAUGAGCCCGCGUAAGAUUAGCUAGUUGGUGAGGUAAUGGCUCACAAAGGCGACGAUCUUUAGCUGGUCUGAGAGGAUGAUCAGCCACACUGGGACUGAGACACGGCCCAGACUCCUACGGGAGGCAGCAGUGGGGAAUAUUGGACAAUGGGCGCAAGCCUGAUCCAGCCAUGCCGCGUGAGUGAUGAAGGCCUUAGGGUUGUAAAGCUCUUUCAGUAGGGAAGAUAAUGACGGUACCUACAGAAGAAGCCCCGGCUAACUUCGUGCCAGCCGCCGCCGUAAAAC